GAUGAACGCUGGCGGCGUGCCUAAUACAUGCAAGUCGAGCGAACGGACGAGAAGCUUGCUUCUCUGAUGUUAGCGGCGGACGGGUGAGUAACACGUGGAUAACCUACCUAUAAGACUGGGAUAACUUCGGGAAACCGGCGCUAAUACCGGAUAAUAUUUUGAACCGCAUGGUUCAAAAGUGAAAGACGGUCUUGCUGUCACUUCUAGAUGCAUCCGCGCUGCAUUAGCUAGUUGGUAAGGUAACGGCUUACCAAGGCAACGAUGCAUAGCCGACCUGAGAGGGGGAUCGGCCACACUGGAACUGGGACACGGUCCAGACUCCUACGGGAGGCAGCAGUAGGGAAUCUUCCGCAAUGGGCGAAAGCCUGACGGAGCAACGCCGCGUGAGUGAUGAAGGUCUUCGGAUCGUAAAACUCUGUUAUGAGGGAAGAACAGAUGUGUAAGUAACUGUGCACAUCGUGACGGUACCUAAUCAGAAAGCCACGGCUAACUACGUG
rnacentral:rRNA from 1 species